AUUGAACGCUGGCGGCGUGCUUAACACAUGCAAGUCGUACGCGAAAGGGACUUCGGCCCCGAGUAAAGUGGCGCACGGGUGAGUAACACGUGGAUAAUCUGCCUCUAUGAUGGGGAUAACAGUUGGAAACGACUGCUAAUACCGAAUACGCUCAUGAUGGACCUUGUGAGGAAAGGUGGCCUCUGCUUGCAAGCUAUCGCAUAGAGAUGAGUCCGCGUCCCCAUUAGCUAGUUGGUGGGGUAACGGCCUACCAAGGCAACGAUGGGUAGCCGAUCUGAGAGGAUGAUCGGCCACACUGGAACUGAAACACGGUCCAGACUCCUACGGGAGGCAGCAGUGGGGAAUAUUGCGCAAUGGGGGCAACCCUGACGCAGCAACGCCGCGUGAUUGAUGAAGGUCUUCGGGAUUG
rnacentral:rRNA from 1 species